CGGCGGGGUAACGGCCCACCGAGGCGACGAUGCGUAGGGGUUCUGAGAGGAAGGCCCCCCACACUGGUACUGAGACACGGACCAGACUCCUACGGGAGGCAGCAGUGAGGAAUAUUGGUCAAUGGGCGCGAGCCUGAACCAGCCAAGUCGCGUGAGGGAGGACGGCCCUACGGGUUGUAAACCUCUUUUGCCGGGGAGCAACGGGCGUCACGUGUGGCGCCACUGAGAGUACCCGGAGAAAAAGCAUCGGCUAACUCCGUGCCAGCAGCCGCGGUAAUACGGAGGAUGCGAGCGUUAUCCGGAUUUAUUGGGUUUAAAGGGUGCGUAGGCGGAUCGUUAAGUCAGUGGUCAAAUUGAGGGGCUCAACCCCUUCCCGCCAUUGAAACUGGCGAUCUUGAGUGGAAGAGAAGUAUGCGGAAUGCGUGGUGUAGCGGUGAAAUGCAUAGAUAUCACGCAGAACCCCGAUUGCGAAGGCAGCAUGCCGGCUUCCGACUGACGCUGAAGCACGAAAGCGUGGGGAUCGAACAGGAUUAGAUACCCUGGUAGUCCACGCGGUAAACGAUGAGCGCUAGGUGUCCGGGGGGAAUGGCCCCUGG
rnacentral:rRNA from 1 species